UCAGGACCCGAGUCAGUGGUA
rnacentral:misc_RNA from 1 species